GGGCUGCAGUCAAGAAUAUUCCCCAAUGGCCGCAAGGCUGAGGGAGCGACGUCGCGUGCAUGAAGAAACCCUUCGGGGUGUAAAGUGCUUUUAACUGGGACGAAUCAAUGACGGUACCAGUUGAAUAAGGGGCUGCUAAACUCGUGCCAGCAGCAGCGGUAAUACGAGUGCCCCAAGCGUUAUCCGGAUUUAUUGGGCGUAAAGCGUACGUAGGUGGUUUAUCGCAUCUCCUGUUAAAUCUCGAGGCUCAACCUCGAGGCUGCGGGAGAGAUGGCUAAACUGGAGACCGGGAGAGGUAAGUGGAAUUGCUGGUGUAGGGGUUAAAUCCGUUAAUAUCAGCAAGAACACCUAAUGUGAAGACAGCUUACUAGAACGGUUCUGACACUAAGGUACGAAAGCGUGGGGAGCGAAUGGGAUUAGAUACCCGGGUAGUC
rnacentral:rRNA from 1 species